AUCCAGCUGACGAGUUCCAAAUGGGACGAAACGCGCGUCCUGGAU
rfam:Schistosoma mattheei strain Denwood, Zambia genome assembly, scaffold: SMTD_scaffold0012225